AAAAAUUUAGUUAAAAAUAUAACAUUAGUUUGUCAAACUAAAAUUAUUAAUUAUAAUAAUUUUUA
rnacentral:tRNA from 3 species